AUUGAACGCUGGCGGCAGGCUUAACACAUGCAAGUCGAGCGAGCGGCGGACGGGUGAGUAAUGUCUGGGAAAUUGAUUGAUGGAGGGGGAUAAUGACUGGAAACGGUAGCUAAUACCGCAUACCAUCAGAUGUGCCAAGAUGGGAGUAGCAAGCAGUUGGGGUAAUGGCUCACCUAGGCGACGUUACCUAGCGGGUAUGAGAGGAAGACCCACAAUGCUGGAACGGGGACACGGUCCAGACUCCUACGAGAGGCAGCGGUCGGGAAUAUGGAGGAGUCGGCACAAGCCUGAUGCAGACAUGCCGCGUGUUUAAAGAAGGCCUUCGGGUUGUAGAGCACUUUCAGCGAGGAGGCGUUACUCACAGAGGAAGCACCGGCUAGCUCCGUGCCAGCAGCCGCGGUAAUUC
rnacentral:rRNA from 1 species